GCUCAAAUGCAGAUAUAAAUGAGGAAUCCUGGAUUCUUGAAUGAUCCUGUGGAGCACAGCAGACCUCAGGGUGAAGAGUUCACUUAACUCAACACUGUUAAGUGAGAAUUAAGUAAACUUAUGCUGUGUUUGGCUAAGUGGGUUCAGAUCUUGUGCAGAAGAGAGGAUUAACAUUACUGAGCCCUCUCAGUCCAAUCCAGAGGGCAUCAAUAUGGUUGAGCAGAAUAACAGCACACUCUAGACAACAGAAACAACAGCCAGAGGACUGAGAAGGGAAAGACGAUUGGGAAACAGCUCAAAUAAUAUUCAAGACAUUCCAACCCCAUCUUGGAACUCCCAGAGAGAUGCAAAAAAAGAAGGUGAUGUGGAUAUGCCAUAUGGCAGGAAUAAACCAGUGAGAUCCAGCUGAACUAUUCAAAUGACAGUGAAGGACUGAAGAUUCUCAAGGAUGCAGGGUUUUGAAGAUGUUCACAAAUCAAUAUAAAGAAAUAGAGAGGAGAAGGCGGAACAAGAUGGCUGAAUAGAAGCCUCCAGCGAUUGUCCCUCCCACGAAACACCAAACAGAACAUCUAUCCACAGAAAAAAAGCAUGUUCAUAAGAACCAAAAAUCAG